AGAGUUUGAUCCUGGCUCAGAAUCAACGCUGGCGGCGUGCCUCAGACAUGCAAGUCGAACGCGAAAGCCCCCUUCGGGGGGCAAGUAGAGUGGCGCACGGGUGAGUAACACGUAGGUAAUCUACCUUUGGAUGGGGAAUAACAACCGGAAACGGUUGCUAAUACCGCAUAAUGCAGCGGCACCUAAUGGUGACAGUUGUUAAAGCGGGGGAUCGCAAGACCUCGCGUCUGAAGAGGAGCCUGCGGCAGAUUAGCUAGUUGGUAAGGUAACGGCUUACCAAGGCGAUGAUCUGUAGCCGGCCUGAGAGGGCGGUCGGCCACACUGACACUGACAUACGGGUCAGACUCCUACGGGAGGCAGCAGUCGGGAAUUUUGGGCAAUGGGCGAAAGCCUGACCCAGCAACGCCGCGUGAAGGAUGAAAUCCCUCGGGAUGUAAACUUCGCAAGAACGGGAAGAAUAAGUAAGGGUUAAUAUCUCUUACGAUGACGGUACUGUUUGUAAGCUCCGGCUAACUCCGUGCCAGCAGCCGCGGUAAUACGGGGGGAGCAAGCGUUGUUCGGAUUUACUGGGCGUAAAGGGCGCGUAGGCGGCCACCGCAAGUCGACUGUGAAAUCUCCGGGCUUAACUCGGAAAGGUCAGCCGAUACUGCGGGGCUAGAGUGCAGAAGGGGCAACUGGAAUUCUCGGUGUAGCGGUGAAAUGCGUAGAUAUCGAGAGGAACACCUGCGGCGAAGGCGGGUUGCUGGGCUGACACUGACGCUGAGGCGCGAAAGCUAGGGGAGCGAACGGGAUUAGAUACCCCGGUAGUCCUAGCCGUAAACGAUGAACACUAGGCGUAGUCGGUAUCGACCCCGGCUGUGCCGUAGCCAACGCAUUAAGUGUUCCGCCUGGGGAGUACGGCCGCAAGGCUAAAACUCAAAGGAAUUGACGGGGGCCCGCACAAGCAGCGGAGCGUGUGGUUUAAUUCGACGCAACGCGAAGAACCUUACCAGGGCUUGACAUGUGGCGGAAAACGGCGGAAACGUCGUCCUCCCGCAAGGGACCGUCAUGCAGGUGUUGCAUGGCUGUCGUCAGCUCGUGUCGUGAGAUGUUGGGUUAAGUCCCGCAACG
rnacentral:rRNA from 1 species